CAAAGCCUGAGGUGUUGGUUAUGUCACCUAAAUUCAACCGACAUUUUAUUUACGGGAUUCUGACUGUACACCUGUAGCUGACAAGCCUUCUUGCAAGGAUCUCAAAAGCAGGCGUCAAGAAACCCACCUGAGUUUGUCUCGGGAGUGAAUUUAAUGGCAUGACGGCAUUUUGGGUUUUCU
rnacentral:other from 1 species